rnacentral:rRNA from 1 species
CCUACGGGUGGCAGCAGUGGGGAAUAUUGCGCAAUGGGCGAAAGCCUGACGCAGCGACGCCGCGUGAGGGAUGAAGGUCUUCGGAUCGUAAACCUCUGUCAGCAGGGAAGAACGGUCACUGUGCUAAUCAGCAGUGAAUUGACGGUACCUGCAAAGGAAGCACCGGCUAAAUCCGUGCCAGCAGCCGCGGUAAUACGGAGGGUGCGAGCGUUAAUCGGAAUUACUGGGCGUAAAGCGCUCGUAGGCGGGAUGUCAAGUCAAGGGGGAAAUCCCCGGGCUCAACGUGGGAACUGCCGUUGAAACUGGCAAACUGGAGUGUGUGAGAGGAUAGUGGAAUUCCAGGUGUAGGAGUGAAAUCCGUAGAUAUCUGGAGGAACAUCAGUGGCGAAGGCGACUAUCUGGCACAUAACUGACGCUGAGGAGCGAAAGCGUGGGUAGCAAACAGGAUUAGAUACCCCUGUAGUC